ensembl:lncRNA
CAGUUCUCCUGCUUGGUAGCAGAAACACAUGGGAAACAACAUCCUGCGCAGGGAGAAGUCCAAGGAGAAAGCCCCAUAUUUCAAGAGACUUGGAUUCAUAGCAGGAACCUCCACCUGGUGUGUUACAGCAUCCCUGUGAAGAGUUGACCAUAUAACCAGCAUGGUGGAUCUGAAGGAAAUGUGUACCUGUUUGAGGAAAUGUGUGUGCUUGGAACAUUGCAUGUAGUGAUACAUGAAGUGAACAAUGGAAGGUCUAAUGGUAUCAAUCCGAUAGAAUGAAAUAUUAAAACUCAGUCUACAGAAUUAAAUGGAACACAGUACAUACAGUUGAAGUCGGAUUUUACGUACACUUAGGUUGGAGUCAUUAAAGCUCGUUUUUCAACCACUCCACAAAUUACUUGUUAACAAACUACAGUUUUGGCAAGUCGGUUAGGACAUCUACAUUGUGCAUGACACUAGUAAUUUGAACAACAAUUGUUUACAGACAGAUUAUUUCUGUCACGACUCCCACUGAAGGUGGCUCCCCUGCCUGUUCGGGCGGCGCUCGGCGUUUGUCGGUGCCGGUCUACUAGCUGCCACCGAUCCCCUUUUCUGUUUGUUUUGUCUUAUUGGUUGCACCUGUCUCUUAUUUUGUUUUUUGAUUCAGUACUAUUUAAGCCUGUUAGGCCCGCCUGUUUUUGUGCGGGCUUGUUUUCUGUUAGUCAGGUUGUGCGUGUAGUGUUCCUGUCCGUUUGUGCCCUGUGUUGGGUUGGACAUUUUGUGAUCAUUUUCGCCUGUUGUUUU